rnacentral:rRNA from 1 species
UACGUAGGGGGCUAGCGUUGUCCGGAAUCAUUGGGCGUAAAGAGCGUGUAGGCGGCCCGGUAAGUCCGCUGUGAAAGUCGGGGGCUCAACCCUUGAAAGCCGGUGGAUACUGUCGGGCUAGAGUGCGGAAGAGGCGAGUGGAAUUCCUGGUGUAGCGGUGAAAUGCGCAGAUAUCAGGAGGAACACCGAUUGCGAAGGCAGCUCGCUGGGACGUAACUGACGCUGAGACGCGAAAGCGUGGGGAGCAAACAGG